UUAUUUCUUGACUUAUCUGCUAUCGUUGAUGACUUCUAUCUCCUUGCUUUCAAAGAGGACAAUCAUUAGAACUUUAGUCCACAAAAUGAAAGAACAGAAAAAAAUGUCUAUUUCAUAUGUUCAGAUAAUAUUUGAUUGACCUUUUACGAUCUUAAACAAAUUUGUGGCUAUGAGUCAACAGAGGGUACCUGUCAAAUAUGUUCAUGUUUACUUCUAGAUCCUAAGUUCUUCAUCAUAUCAUUAUUAUUUCUUCCCUUAUGGAUGGGAAUCUUAUACACCAUUGACUAGAACAUUAUUGAGACAAGAAUCUGGAAACCUUAGUUGGAACUCUGAUGAGAAAAAAGAUGAGAGAGAGAGAGAGAGAGAGAGAGAGAGAGAGAGGGUCAGUUGUUUCUCAACUUGGAAAUCAAGUAAUAACAAAAACAGAGGAACACAGAAGCAGCAGCUGUUUUCUGAAGAAAAAUCACUGCUAGUUCCCAGAAUCAACUGGGAAAGAUUUUUAUUAGCUCAAAUUGUUGACAUUUGGUCCAUUGUUUUGUUGUUCUAAAGUCAUGUGAUUAGAAUGGCAAACUGCCUUUGCUCUUUAUCCAUUUAGUCAAUCAGUUCACAAGUAAGAAAAGUCAUACAUGUCAAGCACUAAUAUGAGUUGUUUGAGUUGCCCAAAUCAUUCACAUCUUUUAUUGAGACCUUCAACUGAUCUCUUGC
rnacentral:lncRNA from 1 species